UACGUAGGGUGCGAGCGUUGUCCGGAAUUAUUGGGCGUAAAGAGCUCGUAGGCGGUUUGUCGCGUCUGGUGUGAAAAUCCAGGGCUUAACCCUGGACCUGCAUCGGGUACGGGCAGACUAGAGUGCGGUAGGGGAGAUCGGAAUUCCUGGUGUAGCGGUGAAAUGCGCAGAUAUCAGGAGGAACACCGGUGGCGAAGGCGGAUCUCUGGGCCGUAACUGACGCUGAGGAGCGAAAGCAUGGGGAGCGAACAGG
rnacentral:rRNA from 1 species